rnacentral:rRNA from 1 species
CCUACGGGGGGCUGCAGUGGGGAAUUUUGGACAAUGGGCGCAAGCCUGAUCCAGCCAUUCCGCGUGAGUGAAGAAGGCCUUCGGGUUGUAAAGCUCUUUCGCAAGGGAAGAAAACUUAUCCUCUAACAUAGGAUGAGGUUGACGGUACCUUGAUAAGAAGCACCGGCUAACUACGUGCAAGCAGCCGCGGUAAUACGUAGGGGGCUAGCGUUAGUAGAAAUUACUGGGCGUGAAUUGUAAGUCGGAUGUUAAAUCCCCGAGCUCAACUUGGGAACUGCGUUUGAAACUACAAGACUAGAAUAGGUCAGAGGGGGGUAGAAUUCCACGUGUAGCAGUGAAAUGCGUAGAGAUGUGGAGGAAUAUCAAUGGCGAAGGCAGCCCCCUGGGAUCAUAUUGACGCUCAUGCACGAAAGCGUGGGGAGCAAACAGGAUUAGAUACCCUAGUAGUC